rnacentral:rRNA from 1 species
UACGUAGGUGGCGAGCGUUAUCCGGAAUGAUUGGGUGUAAAGGGUGCGUAGGCGGCAAUGCAAGUCAGGCGUGAAAGCUCGGGGCUUAACCCCGAAACUGCGCUUGAAACUGUGUUGCUUGAGUGAAGUAGAGGUAGGCGGAAUUCCCGGUGUAGCGGUGAAAUGCGUAGAGAUCGGGAGGAACACCAGUGGCGAAGGCGGCCUACUGGGCUUUAACUGACGCUGAGGCACGAAAGCAUGGGUAGCAAACAGG